UCACGCACUCAUCAAACAAUUUAUAACCAGGUCUCUAUAUUGUGCAGGUAAACGACCAUGGUUGUGUAUAAAAAUAAAGUGCAAGUGAUAUUUAAAAUUGGCAGUGCAUCUGCCUGAAACUUAUUUGUGUGUUAUGAAAAAAGUAUAAAAUUAAAUUUAAACAAAGAACUGAUGUGCGGAUAGACAGAUUGUCAACCAACAAAAAUAGGAUAUCCAAACGGCUUUAAAUCGCUGCAUAAGGAGUAAACUGCUGAUUGGCGUAUUUCAAGAACAUAAUUCAGUGGUAUUUCCGUCAAAGGAAAAGGAACUUCAUAUGACUUUUUUCAGCGGGAUUUGGCUUUCUUUCUUUUCUUUGAUUUUUAGGUGGGAUCUACUGGUUAGCUUCCCGGAUUGGUACUAUUGCCUGUUCCAAGGGUUAUCCACUGGCAGUUUCCCAGGUCUUUUGGCCGUUUCCAGAACCUUUUCGUUGCCUGGAACCCCUGUGCCGCACCUGGCGAUACAAAAAUAAUUGUUGGGGAUGCCCGCUUCUUUUUCGUCCAAGUCGGAUGGCGCUGUCCAAUUGUGGAUUUAUGCGCGGCGUUAUUCCUAAAUAGAACACAAAAACUUAACACAACACAUCCGACAUAACAUCACUUACAAAUCAACACUUACAAAUUGUUUAGAUACGCCACACAAAUAAAACAAUAAAACACACAAAUUGUAACUGCCAA